AAAUGGUGAAGUAUAUAAAUAUACAUUUAGUUUCGACCUAAAAAAAGAAGUAUUAACUUCCUCAUUUA
rnacentral:tRNA from 1 species